GAUGAACGCUGGCGGCGUGCCUAAUACAUGCAAGUCGAGCGAACGGACGAGAAGCUUGCUUUUCUGAUGUUAGCGGCGGACGGGUGAGUAACACGUGGAUAACCUACCUAUAAGACUGGGAUAACUUCGAGAAACCGGAGCUAAUACCGGAUAAUAUUUUGAACCGCAUGGUUCAAAAGUGAAAGACGGUCUUGCUGUCACUUAUAGAUGGAUCCGCGCUGCAUUAGCUAGUUGGUAAGGUAACGGCUUACCAAGGCAACGAUGCAUAGCCGACCUGAGAGGGUGAUCGGCCACACUGGAACUGAGACACGGUCCAGACUCCUACGGGAGGCAGCAGUAGGGAAUCUUCCGCAAUGGGCGAAAGCCUGACGGAGCAACGCCGCGUGAGUGAUGAAGGUCUUCGGAUCGUAAAACUCUGUUAUUAGGGAAGAACACAUGUGUAAGUAACUGUGCACAUCUUGACGGUACCUAAUCAGAAAGCCACGGCUAACUACGUG
rnacentral:rRNA from 1 species